AUUGAACGCUGGCGGCAUGCCUUACACAUGCAAGUCGAACGGUAGCGGGCCUUCGGGUGCCGACGAGUGGCGCACGGGUGAGUAAUACAUCGGAACGUGCCCGAUCGUGGGGGAUAACGAGGCGAAAGCUUUGCUAAUACCGCAUACGAUCUACGGAUGAAAGCAGGGGACCGCAAGGCCUUGCGCGGACGGAGCGGCCGAUGGCGGAUUAGGUAGUUGGUGGGAUAAAAGCUUACCAAGCCGACGAUCUGUAGCUGGUCUGAGAGGAUGAUCAGCCACACUGGGACUGAGACACGGCCCAGACUCCUACGGGAGGCAGCAGUGGGGAAUUUUGGACAAUGGGCGCAAGCCUGAUCCAGCCAUGCCGCGUGCAGGAUGAAGGCCUUCGGGUUGUAAACUGCUUUUGUACGGAACGAAAAGCCUUCUUUUAAUACAGGAGGGUCAUGACGGUACCGUAAGAAUAAGCACCGGCUAACUACGUG
rnacentral:rRNA from 1 species